UCCUUGAUAGCUCAGUUGGUAAAGAAUCCGCCUGCAAUGCGGGAGACCUGGGUUCAGUCCCCGGGUUGGGAA
rfam:TPA: Bos taurus chromosome 16, whole genome shotgun sequence.